UAGCCGUACCGGAAGGUGCGGCUGGAUCACCUCCUUUCUAAGGAGUCACCUGCUCACCAGAGCAGACUCCCGAGUUGAUCACUCGCUACUCGGUCCUCCACGUCAGACGACGGAAUGGAGCUUCGGCUCUUUCGAUCGCCGGUGGAACGGCCCCACGUCCUCUCUUCUGUUUUGAGGGAGUGUCUCCCUCGAGCUCUGCAAGGCAACGCCGGCCCCACAGCGGGUCGGCAUCCUUGCGUCUGCGACCUUGUCGCCAGAAGCUCCUUGAGAAUUGCAUAGCGAGCACGAGCAUCUUUGUUCUUCCAAGCUACAAAAAGCCAACGGUGGAUGCCUUGGCGCCUA
rnacentral:misc_RNA from 1 species